rnacentral:rRNA from 1 species
GUUAUCGUUUAUUUGAUAGUACCUUACUACUUGGAUAACCGUGGUAAUUCAAGAGCUAAUACAUGCUAAAAACCCCGACUUCGGAAGGGGUGUAUUUAUUAGAUAAAAAACCAAUGCCCUUCGGGGCUCCUUGGUGAUUCAUAAUAACUUAACGAAUCGCAUGGCCUUGUGCCGGCGAUGGUUCAUUCAAAUUUCUGCCCUAUCAACUUUCAAUCGUAUGGUCUUGGCUUACGAUGGUUUCAACGGGUAACGGGGAAUUAGGGUUCUAUUCCGGAGAGGGAGCCUGAGAAACGGCUACCACAUCCAAGGAAGGCAGCAGGCGCGCAAAUUACCCAAUCCCGACACGGGGAGGUAGUGACAAUAAAUACUGAUACAGGGCUCUUUUGGGUCUUGUAAUUGGAAUGAGUACAAUUUAAAUCCCUUAACGAGGAACAAUUGGAGGGCAAGUCUGGUGCCAGCAGCCGCGGUAAUUCCAGCUCCAAUAGCGUAUAUUAAAGUUGUUGCAGUUAAAAAGCUCGUAGUUGAACCUUGG